rnacentral:rRNA from 1 species
UUCUAAGGGCGUUGAAGCAUGAUCGCAAGGACAUGUGGAGCGCUUAGAAGUGAGAAUGCCGGUGUGAGUAGCGAAAGACGGGUGAGAAUCCCGUCCACCGAUUGACUAAGGUUUCCAGAGGAAGGCUCGUCCGCUCUGGGUUAGUCGGGUCCUAAGCUGAGGCCGACAGGCGUAGGCGAUGGAUAACAGGUUGAUAUUCCUGUACCACCAUUAUUCGUUUUAAGCGAUGGGGGGACGCAGUAGGAUAGGCGAAGCGUGCUGUUGGAGUGCACGUCCAAGCAGUGAGAUUGAGUGUUAGGCAAAUCCGGCACUCUUAAGAUUGAGCUGUGAUGGGGAGAGGAACUUGUUCCUCGAGUCGUUGAUUUCACACUGCCGAGAAAAGCCUCUAGCUAGAAUAACGGUGCCCGUACCGCAAACCGACACAGGUAGUCAAGAUGAGAAUUCUAAGGUGAGCGAGCGAACUCUCGUUAAGGAACUCGGCAAAAUGACCCCGUAACUUCGGGAGAAGGGGUGCUCUUUGAGGUUCACGCUUCGAAGAGCCGCAGUGAAUAGGCCCAAGCGACUGUUUAUCAAAAACACAGGUCUCUGCUAAACCGUAAGGUGACGUAUAGGGGCUGACGCCUGCCCGGUGCUGGAAGGUUAAGAGGAGUGGUUAGCGCAAGCGAAGCUACGAAUCGAAGCCCCAGUAAACGGCGGCCGUAACUAUAACGGUCCUAAGGUAGCGAAAUUCCUUGUCGGGUAAGUUCCGACCCGCACGAAAGGCGUAACGAUUUGGGCACUGUCUCAACGAGAGACUCGGUGAAAUCAUAGUACCGGUGAAGAUGCCGGUUACCCGCGACAGGACGGAAAGACCCCGUGGAGCUUUACUGUAGCCUGAUAUUGAAAUUCGGUACAGUUUGUACAGGAUAGGUAGGAGCCUUAGAAGCGUGAGCGCUAGCUUACGUGGAGGCAUUGGUGGGAUACUACCCUAAUUGUAUUGGAUUUCUAACCCGCAGCACUUAUCGUGCUGGGAGACAGUGUCAGGCGGGCAGUUUGACUGGGGCGGUCGCCUCCUAAAGAGUAACGGAGGCGCUCAAAGGUUCCCUCAGAAUGGUUGGAAAUCAUUCAUAGAGUGUAAAGGCAUAAGGGAGCUUGACUGCGAGACCUACAAGUCGAGCAGGGUCGAAAGACGGACUUAGUGAUCCGGUGGUUCCGCAUGGAAGGGCCAUCGCUCAACGGAUAAAAGCUACCCCGGGGAUAACAGGCUUAUCUCCCCCAAGAGUUCACAUCGACGGGGAGGUUUGGCACCUCGAUGUCGGCUCAUCGCAUCCUGGGGCUGUAGUCGGUCCCAAGGGUUGGGCUGUUCGCCCAUUAAAGCGGUACGCGAGCUGGGUUCAGAACGUCGUGAGACAGUUCGGUCCCUAUCCGUCGUGGGCGUAGGAAAUUUGAGAGGAGCUGUCCUUA